rnacentral:lncRNA from 1 species
GAAUUUGCCUUUAAGCUUGGGCGGCACCUUCUUAUCACACAGCACCCCCGACACGAGCUUCCACUUCAUCCAUCCCGCCCCAAUACGGUGCAAGACAUCCUCGUCAAUCUCACCGUUACUCUGGAUCACGAACCCGAGAUACUUGAAACUAUCCCUCUUACAUACCUCCUGUGAUUCCAGCUUCACUACUACCUCAUUCUCCCGUCUCACGUCAUUAAACUUGCAUUCCACACUCUGUCUUGCUUCUGCUCACCCUGAACCCUUUAGACUCAAG